rnacentral:rRNA from 1 species
GACGAACGCUGGCGGCGUGCUUAACACAUGCAAGUCGAACGGAGUGGCGAACGGGUGAGUAACACGCGGGUGACCUGCCCUGCACUUCGCGAUAAGUCUGGGAAACUGGGUCUACUACAGGAUAGUGGGGGAGGGGCCCUGGGGCGAUCAGCUUGUUGGUGGGGUAAUGGCCUACGAAGGCGGCGACGUGUAGCAGGCCCGAGAGGGUGGACGGCCAAAUUGUGAAUGGGACAAGGCCCAGACUCCUACGGGAGGCAGCAGUGGGGAAUAUUGCAGAAUGGGCGGAAGCCUGAUGCAGCGACGCCGCGUGGGGGAUGACGGCCUUCGGGUUGUAAACUCCUUUCACCAUCGACGCGGUAGAUGGGGAGGAAGCACCGGCUAACUACGUGCCAGCCGCCGCGGUAAGAC